CGUCACUUAGCAAAGACUCUCAGUUCCCUUGCUUCUUGAGAGAGAUAGAGAGAGAGAAGGGGGGGUUGUGGCUUUCGGCAUCAGAAACGAGGGAGGAAAAGAGGUUAAAAGGCGUGAGAAAGGCAAUAAAAGGCCGAUUGAGGGGAAAGGAAGUAUAGGGGUUUCGUAUAGGAACCAGGGGGAGGCUGAAUAAUAUUAUGAUCCUUCUGAAUAUGCCACACACACACAUACAUGUGUAUAUAUAUAUAUGAACCCUCCAAUCUGUGAUUAUUUAUCCAUCUUUCGAGUCCAAAACCACCUGAUCUCCUUCACUUACCUUCUCAAUUAUUAAUUACACCCUGCAUACUCUCUCUCACUGUGCUUGCCCCCGUCGCAUCUUAAAUAGAACCCCUCUAUCCCCCCAUCUCCUUCUACCAUGUAGUUAUUGCUCUCUUUCUCCGUUUCUGUGUCUCUGUACGAGUUCAUGUGCAUAUCAAUGUGUGCGCGGAUCUUCAAUGGUGAAUACAAGGGCAGUGCGUUCAUGUGGAUUUAACAAAGGCUUUCUAACAGAGUUUAUUGGCAUUCUGUCCACCUCCCUUGAAUAGAAAACCUCGUCCUCUCUCUCUCUCUCUGGAGGUGGGCAUACUGCCAACUGAGCUCUGUUGGCUUCUCUUUGUAAGAUCCUCGUGAUAUAUCUCCUCCAUCUGUUCUCUCAUGUACAUGAUUGACAUCAAGGUAUAGAGCAGCAUGCAUAUUCCAUGUUCCAAGGGCGUGAUGCUUGUCUACUCAAUCAUCCGAACUCCACUUUUGUUAUGUUUCUAAAUAGGAACAGGAAGAAAUUAAGAUUAUUUAUACCUAGUUUUAUUUCUUCUUCAUGUCUGUGUUGCAGGUUCUUAUUUUCUGCUUAAAUAAUCUUUGUAUGCACACAAAAAUCAUCCAUGAACUCUCUAGUUUCUGUUUGAUCAUAUGCAGAUCUUGUGUGGCUGCAUCACUUUGGGAACCCCCAUUUAAUGUUCUAUUUUCUGGGAUCGAUGUGUGUGUGUGUGUGUGUGUGUUUUUCUCUCUCGUUUCUUUCAUGUACUGCGACCUAGGGUUUGUUUUGGGCAUGUUUUCUUUCAUUCUGAUUCAGGAAGGUUCAAAGAUCAAAAAGCUUUCGAUGAAUGAAGGUCUCCCUAGCACAUUUUACACAGAAAAAGUUAAAAAGCAAAGAUAUUGAAAAAGCGAGGGUAUAGUGGAAACGGGGAAGAAAGAUCACAUUAUUCUGUUAGAGCUCAUGAGACCGAAAUGAUGUCUCCAUUGAGGGACUAAUUGGAACUUGUUUUUGCAAUGAUCUCCCAUGUUUGUUGUCUUAUAUGUAUAAUCAUGGUGAUUAUGAGAUCACAAUAAAAAAGAUCAGGGUCUUAAGAUUUCA